rnacentral:misc_RNA from 1 species
CGACGCGAUUGUCUUUUCCUCUUUGCGUGGGCAGUUUUCAACUUCAUAAGCCAGUCAACUGUUUUGCGACCAACAAACCCAACAUAAACUGUAAGCACUACAUCAUGCAGUACGUUGCCGAGCCCUCCUCCAUCCGCGUUUAUUACCGCGGAAACAAGUACGAUGUUCCGCUGGAGUUUGCAACUCGCAUGCAUCCAGGUGGCAGCAGCAUUCUCAUGCGCUAUAAGGACGGCGACAUCACGAAGGACUUUGAGAAGAUGAACCACUCCGUCGAUGCAGCGGUAAUGCUAAAUGAGUGGUUGGUUGACGGCAAUCAUUUCUCUGAAGUCUACAGGUCUGCUUCAUCCUGCAAGGGUGGAGAAGAGAACGGGAAUCAGCAGAAAAAGGAGUCUGAUAAGUCGAAGCGCUGGAACCGCUUGGCCAUCGCCUUCGGAAUUGCCUCGAUUGUUACUGCGGUGGAAAUGCGUAAGCACUGAAGGAAGAGUGAAAUGGGUGAGCAGCGUGUUCACAUCGGUAUUUCUUUUUGCUUUUGGAAUAUUUCCUGCGUGCCACUCCCUUUUUUUUUUUCAGUGAUUCUGGGGUCGCAGCAUCCUUUUUUUUUUCCUUUCUUUAGUUCUUUCCUUUAUGAGGGUGUACACCUCAGUAUGGUACUAGGACGAAGCAUUGACGUCAUCGAUAAGUCAGAGCGGUGUGGCGCUACGCAUGUCGGCCAUCAGAUCCUGGAUGGCGUUGCGUCGGAGCCACCCGCGGCCGCGGACACGUUUGUGGCACCCUUAUGACAGGCGAAGCGUCCGCGUGCCUCGAACCUGUCCCACCCACGCCCCGGCCUUCACAGCGCCCGCUGCUGGUGUGGCGGGGAGCCUGAGAGCCGCCCCCCCCCGAGCGGGGAUGCGCCAAGGCGGCGGACCUGCGAGGCGGGGGUGCGGGCAGAGGUUGAGGCAGGGGCCCUGCGCCGAUGGCUGCGUCGGCGCAUUGCUGUAUCGCCUGCGCCUACGGCGGUUUCGCACCAGGAGGCUGGCGUUGAACAGGCAGGGUAGAGUGGAGUCCACCUCAUGUUUUAGCGCAGAAUGAGCGUGAUAGCAAAAAAAAGAAAGGAAAGCAGUUAGUUGUUCCUAUCUUUGACUGAACUUAUUUACUGAUAUGGAAGUGCUCUCCCUCUAUCACACACAGUUUACUUUUCUUUUUCCGUUUCGCAGAACCCAUACGUGCCUCUUGGUCUUUUUCUCUAUUUUGCAUUCUUUUCCAGGCGAUUCGAGUGAGCGUGAAAGGGAAUACUGUGU